UCGGGAAUUUUGGGCAAUGGGCGAAAGCCUGACCCAGCAACGCCGCGUGAAGGAUGAAGUAUUUCGGUAUGUAAACUUCGUAAGAAUAGGAAGAAUAAAUGACGGUACUAUUUGUAAGGUCCGGCUAACUACGUGCCAGCAGCCGCGGUAAUACGUAGGGACCAAGCGUUGUUCGGAUUUACUGGGCGUAAAGGGCGCGUAGGCGGCGUGGUAAGUCACUUGUGAAAUCUCCGAGCUUAACUCGGAACGGUCAGAUGAUACUGCUGUGCUAGAGUACAGAAGGGGCAAUCGGAAUUCUUGGUGUAGCGGUGAAAUGCGUAGAUAUCAAGAGGAACACCUGAGGUGAAGACGGGUUGCUGGGCUGAUACUGACGCUGAGGCGCGAAAGCUAGGGUAGCAAACAGGAUUAGAUACCCCUGUAGUCCCUGAGCGGGCUGGCAAGGCGCAU
rnacentral:rRNA from 1 species